CACCAAGGUGCUCAUCGCCCUCGCCGACAACGUCGGCUCCAAGCAGCUCCAGGACAUCCGCCGCGGGCUGAGGGGCGACUCAGUGGUGCUCAUGGGGAAGAACACGCUCAUCAGGCGCUGCAUCAAGGCUUACGCUGACAAGACGGGGAACCACACCUUCGACCCGCUCAUGGACCUCCUCGUCGGCAACGUUGGCCUCAUCUUCACCAAGGGUGACCUCAAGGAGGUCCGCGAGGAGGUCGCCAAGU
rnacentral:lncRNA from 1 species